UUGCGUUUGUUAGAAAACACAAAUGUUGAACAAGUAGUAAUCUUGUUUGAACAAUAAAAAAUUUGAUAGCUAUAUUUUUUUUUACCUAUUUUUAUGUUUUAUUUUUAGGCUAAAUUGCACUUUUGGCCCCCUAAGUUUCAGAAACUUGCAAUUUUGGCCCCUUAUAUUUCAAAAUAGCACUUAUAGCCCCCUAAGUUUCAAAAAGUUGCGAUUUUGGCCCCCUAUGUUUCAAAAUAGCAAUUUUGGCCCCCUAAGUUUCAGUAGUUGCGAUUUUGGCCACCUAUGUUUCAAAAUAGCNNNNNGACUCAGCUGCCACGUCAACAUUUUUUUGUCAUCUUAUACUUAAAAAAACUAAAAGAAUAAAAAAAUAAAAGGAAGAAGUCACAUGCUUUAAAUUUAUUCUUUCACUACGUUCAAAAAAAAAAUUAAAAUUUAUUCUUUCACUAACACACAUAUAUAAUCUCAAAUCCUAAAGAAUUAACCAAAUACUUCGUGACGUUUAUUCAAAAGGAUUUUUCACUAUACGUAAAAAAAAAAACCUAAUUCCAAAUCCAAAAAUAGGAAACAAUGGAAAUUGAAAACUCUUCGUGCUUUUUGUUAUGUCUUUUUAAUUAUGUAAUAACUUCAUAUAUGUAAUGACUUGAUUUGUUAUGUCAUUUUGAUUUAGAAAAGUGUCUUGAACUUCCAUUUAGAAAAGUGUCUUGAACUUUCAUUUUGCAAAAGGGGUUAACAUAGGGGGCCAAAAUUGCUAUUUUGAAAUAUAGGAGGCCAAAAUAGCAACUUUUUGAAAUUUAGGGGGCCAAAAGUGCUAUUUUGAAACAUAGGGGGUCAAAAUUGCAACUUCCUGAAACUUAGGGGGCCAAAAGUGCUAUUUUGAAAUAUAGGGGACCAAAAUCGCAACUUUCUGAAACUUAAGGGGCCAAAAGUGCAAUUUAGCCUUAUUUUUAUUAGUAAUUUAUGGUUUAUUUUCAUUCUAGAAUUAUUUUUCUUCUCUUUUUUUCUUUUAAUUAUGAGUAGAAUACGGACCAAGUGAAACUACUCGAGUGAAAAGAUAUAAUUAUUGGAGUAUUAGUGCAAGACUUUGAUGAUAGUGGAUUUUCAAGUGCAAGAUAAUACGUCAAAUAUCUGGUUUUGGUAGGAUUUUAUGUGGAGUUGGAUUUAUUCGUCUUUUUCUGUCCAACAUUUGAGCAUAUGAUUGGGUGGGAGUGUUACCUCUAAUUUUUGACUAUAUGCAUUUAAUGUCAAUUUGGUAUGUCAUC
rnacentral:lncRNA from 1 species